GUCCCCUUCGUCUAGUGGCCUAGGACUCCGGGUUUUCAUCCCGGCAACAGGGGUUCGAGUCCCCUAGGGGACGCCA
rnacentral:tRNA from 2 species